GCAGCUUGUUACGGCAGCAUAUACUAAAACUGGAACGAUACAGAGAAGAUUAGCAUGGCCCCUGCGCAAGGAUGACACGCAAAAUCGAGAAAUGUAGGAGCAGCAG
ensembl:snRNA U6 U6 spliceosomal RNA